rnacentral:rRNA from 1 species
UACGAAGGGUGCAAGCGUUACUCGGAAUUACUGGGCGUAAAGCGUGCGUAGGCGGUUCGUUAAGUCCGUUUUGAAAGCCCUGGGCUCAACCUGGGAAUGGCAGUGGAUACUGGCGAGCUAGAGUGUGAUAGAGGAUGGUGGAAUUCCCGGUGUAGCGGUGAAAUGCGUAGAGAUCGGGAGGAACACCAGUGGCGAAGGCGGCCAUCUGGAUCAACACUGACGCUGAGGCACGAAAGCGUGGGGAGCAAACAGG